GCACUCACCUAUCCACUAAACAGCAACUUCAAUGUUGAAACAGCAACUUUCAACAUUGAAGUUGCUGUUUAGUGGAUAGGUGAGUGC